UCGACUCGGAUAAGUUUCAGAGUCGGCUCAUGAGGGGGAGUCGACUCGCACACAGAUGGGAGUCGACUCGAGGUCGAUGGCAACAUAGGGGGAGUCGACUCGCGCAUAUUUUGGAGUCGACUCGAGGUCGAGUCGACUCGCGACUUACUGGAGUCGACUCGCGGUCGGGAAUCCGAUGUUUUAACCCUAAUCGAAAAGUUUAAUCAACACUUCUAUUCAUCGCCUCC
rnacentral:lncRNA from 1 species